AACGAACGCUGGCGGCAGGCUUAACACAUGCAAGUCGAACGCCCCGCAAGGGGAGUGGCAGACGGGUGAGUAACGCGUGGGAAUCUACCCAUCCCUACGGAACAACUCCGGGAAACUGGAGCUAAUACCGUAUACGCCCUUUGGGGGAAAGAUUUAUCGGGGAUGGAUGAGCCCGCGUUGGAUUAGCUAGUUGGUGGGGUAAAGGCCUACCAAGGCGACGAUCCAUAGCUGGUCUGAGAGGAUGAUCAGCCACAUUGGGACUGAGACACGGCCCAACCUCAUACGGGAGGCAGCAGUGGGGAAUAUUGGACAAUGGGAGCAAGCCUGAUCCAGCCAUGCCGCGUGAGUGUUGAAGGCCUUAGGGUUGUAAAGCUCUUUCACCGAUGAAGAUAAUGACGGUAGUCGGAGAAGAAGCCCCGGCUAACUUCGUGCCAGCCGCCGCAGUAAAAC
rnacentral:rRNA from 1 species